UUGUCCUAUGGUGUAAUGGUAGCACAACAGAUUCUGGUCCUGUUUGUCAAGGUUCGAAUCCUUGUAGGACAACUAC
rnacentral:tRNA from 1 species